rnacentral:rRNA from 1 species
ACCGUGGCAGUGACGGGUAACGGGGGAAUUAGGGUUCGAUUCCGGAGAGGGAGCCUGAGAAACGGCUACCACAUCUAAGGAAGGCAGCAGGCGCGCAAAUUACCCAAUGAAAACAGUUUCGAGGUAGUGACGAGAAAUAACAAUACAGGGCAUUUUAUGCUCUGUAAUUGGAAUGAUGGGAAUGUAAAACCCUUCCAGAGUAACAAUUGGAGGGCAAGUCUGGUGCCAGCAGCCGCGGUAAUUCCAGCUCCAAUAGUGUAUAUUAGAGUUGUUGCAGUUAAAAAGCUCGUAGUUGGAUUUCUGCUGUGGUCAUCCGGUACCGCCCGUAUGGGUGCGCACCUGGUUUGGCUCCGGCUUUCUUCCUGUAGCCGUCCGCGCUUAAUUGCGUGUACUGUGUUACGGAACUUUUACUUUGAGAAAAAUAGAGUGUUUCAAGCAGGCUUGUCGCCCUGAAUACUUCAGCAUGGAAUAAUAGGAUAGGACCUUGGUUCUAUUUUGUUGGUUUCUAGGACCAAGGUAAUGAUUAAUAG